GUGUUUCAAACCCAGAUCUCCUGACUGGCCAACUCCUGGACAACAUGCUAACCACUUGGCUACCGUUCGGCCCGUGGAAGAUAAAUGUAACCCAAAUGAAAACCAUGGUUACUAAACCCAUAGUUGUGAUUUAAGUGCAUUCUGCAAAACCGCCAGUAGGUGGCACAUAUCUGUAGUAUAACAGUUCACAGUGGAUAGACAUUUAGUCAUUUCUAAAUGAGACGUGCAUGAGAAAGCACUGUGACCGAGCUGAAGAACCAUCCCGGACUAAGAAGUGUACAUAUACAUUGACAUGAAGAGCCAUUUCAUCCCGAGUGUGCCUCGUGUGAGCUCCGAUUGGUUUUUCUUGAGGACUGAGAUUGCACUUGAAUCUGAACCGUGAGGGUUCAGUGGCGAGGCAAACCCAGGAACAGACAAGUGGACAGGACGGGUCCGUGGUGUGGCCAGCUGCGGCAUCUGCCCUGAGGACAUCGGACUACAAAUUCACUUCACA